rnacentral:siRNA from 1 species
UUGAGGCCUGAAACGUGACAU